AUCGCGUGCUUUGAAUCAAAUUUGAAUGUCAACAACUUACAGGGCAAAGGGACUGAGUAGCAGUAGGAUAUAGAAAACAUUGAAAACACUCAGGUAUCUGUGAUCAGAGUGUGUAUGGUACAAGCCUGCACACGUGUGAAUGGCGCCAGGUUCAGGCGAGACUAGAUCCACCAACAUCCUGACCUGAGACGUGUUGCAUAGGCGUAGCGAAUCGAGCGAAGCUAGCCAAUCUAGCCGGAAGUGUAAAGAGCGCGCCCCUACAAGCUAGCGAACCUAGACCCCUAGCGUAGCGAAGCUAGCGGCCUUUGGAGGUCCUACGCUUGCUAUUCAAAAUGGCCGACAUUGUUGUCGGUUUCAAGUUUGCAGAUGAGAGUUUCUUUGAUGCUCCCGUUAAAAAGGAGUAUUGGACCGGAAACAAAGUGAAAUGAAUGUGGGAAAUCAAUGGACCAAGGGGGCAUACUUUUCCUCAUGGACACUUAUGCCGAACAUAAGGAACAAUUUGUAAUUCCAACUUGAAAAUAGAGGUAUGGAAGAGGAUUGCUUCGGAAAUGGCAGCCUCAGGAUGCCACUUUGCUCCAGCAGCACUUGAGAAAAAAAUGGAGCAAUAUGAAAAUAUGGUACAAAGCUAUAUUAGAUUUCAACAAGAAAACGGGCCAGGGAAGAUCACGAUGGAAUUUCUAUUCCAGAAUGGCUGAAAUCUUGGAAGGAGACCCUUUGUUCAUCCCACCACUGACAUCAUCAUCACUGGGGAGUGUAAAAGUAAACACUCUCUCCGAGAUCUCCAAUACCCAGCAAUGUGCCACCCCUACAAAGAAGCAAG